GCUGGAGCCGGAGCAUCACUCACACUUAAUAGAGACCCUAGGAAUUCAGAGCAGAGGAGGAACAUGGAACGUUUAACAGUUUACCCGUUGUUACUUUUGAAAUACGCAGUGCGGCCUGGAUUUACAGCCUGUACAGGAGCUAUUACCACAGUCAAUCAUUCUGUUUAUUACUACUCUGUGUCAUUAUGGAGAUCAUGGAAUCAUUUUUAUAUGCAUUUUUAACAUAACGGGAGGCUUUACAGUUUUUUUGGAAUCGCUAACAUGCACUGAAACAGAUCAGAACAGUGUAGGUUCAGAACACUGAACAGAACAGUGUAUGUGGAUCAAACUGUGAAUCAUUUUUCAUUGCUUUCACACAAAAUGCAUUCAAUGACCACGUUCUCCGAACUCUUUUGUCAUUCAUACUCCACCACCUGCAAAAACUAUAUAUUUGCAGCAUGUUUUCAAAUGCUAACACACUGUUUCCAAAACUGUUAAAAACACAUUCAAAACAGAAUGAUGGAAAUGUCGUGUAUUUCUGCAGUAACCAGAUUGAAACAUAUAGAAAAUCUCAGCAGAAUAUUUACCGUUUUACCUAAUUGUUUACACAUUAAAAUUGGAACUUGAAACGCUAUUACCGAAACCUGAAGCUCAAGUACCAAAUACCUAAACCAAGUCUGCAAAAUUGAAAGCACAAUUCCUGCUAUACACUCAGUUUUCAAUUCUAAAUCACACAUUUUGCAAAACAUUCAGUUCUCUACAUUAGGCACAACAUUCAAAAUUAAAAUAUCUUCAGUCCCUUUGGAAAGCAACGCCAAUCACAAUGCCAAGCUCUUUACACCAAUUGGCAACACCCACUCCUCACAGGUGUAAGCACUAGUUGCAGAUUUGUUCACUUAGAAAUCAGAGCUUUAGCACUAUAAAAGGCCACAGAUGAGCUCUCCUGUUUUGGAGGAAAAUGGAAGUCAAUGGUGAAGCAAGAGCUAGAGGUGAAGGAGUGAGAGUAAGAAGAGGAGGAGGAGGAGGAGGAGGAGGAGGACAGUUGUCUCCAAGGAGAUCAGGGCCACAUUGGUUGAACAUGUGCUAAACCAUGGAUUGAGUAUGAGGGAGGCUGGGCAGAGAGUACAACCCAACCUGAGCCGCUACACGGUUGCGUCUAUCAUCCGUACAUUCAGAAAUGAGAACCGAACUGAGAGACCUCCAGGCCACGGUGGAAGACACCGGCUGUUCACACCAGAACAGGAGACCGCUCUUGUGAACAUGGUGGUGGCAAACAAUACCAUUAGACUACUAGAAAUCCAGAACCGCAUAAUUGCAGACAGCACAAUAUUACAUAGCAUUCACCAGGUGGACUUGUCUACAUUGGACCUUGUAUUACAGCGCAACCGAAUCCGGAUGAAACAGGUCUACAAGGUGCCAUUUGAGCGAAAUUCAGAGAGGGUUGAAUAGCAGCGCUUUGAAAAUGUGGAAAGAGUCUUGGAGCUGGAUGCUGCUGCAAUUCAGCACGUUUAUAUGUACGUUGAUGAGGCUGGCUUCAACCUAGCCAAAAGAAGGGGACGGGACGGAACAUUAUUGGCCACGGUGCCAUUGUGAAUGUCCCUGGACAGUGUGGAGGGAAUAUCACCAUGUGCGUAGCCGGUAGCCCGCAAGGCGUCCUCCAUCACCAUGCCAACCUUGGUCCCUACAACACUGCCCUUCUCAUCUCAUUCCUGGACACACUGCAUGGAAUCCUCAUUCCAGCCGAGCAUAGGGGUGGACCAGAGGGGUGCUCUGGUCCACAACUGGUUCAUCGACCACCCACAAUUCAUUGUUCUAUACCUCCCACCAUAUUCCCCAUUCCUAAACCCAAUUGAAGAGGUUUUUUCGGCAUGGUGAUAGGUGUAUGACCGCCAUCCCCUCGCACGCAUGCCUCUACUCCAGGCAAUGGAAGAUGCAUGUGGUGAAGUUGAUGUGGGGGUUUAAGGCGGCUGGAUCCAUCAUCUUCCCCCGCUGUUUAGACAGGGAGAACAUCUCUUGUGAUGUAUCUGAGGUGCUGUGGCCAGACCAAAAUAGGAGGCAGGAUGCAGCCUAAUGUAUUUUUUCUUAUAUUUUGCAAGUGUUUUUGUCUUUUUGUGUUUAGAGUUUUGAAAAAAUUUGUACAGAGAACCCUUUAUCUUACUGAAAGUUGUUCCUGGUUUUCUCCUGUUGGAAAUAAAUGACACUGUUUUUGUUACUG